rnacentral:pre_miRNA from 1 species
AUAUCAUUUGGACCGUCGGUCUACCGAGCAAUUCCACCCGCUCGAUGGAAGAUCUUCCCUAACACCC